UCCCUGAUGGUCCAGUGGUUAGGACUCCAUGCUUCCAACGCAGGGGCGUGGGUUCGAUCCCUGGUCAGGGAA